UCCUGGCUUGGGGGCAGAAGUGUGGUCGUUCUGAGAUUAUACUGUCAAAACUUGAUCUAGAUAAUACUAGCGAAAGGACAUGCGUGGCACUGAUU
rnacentral:ncRNA from 1 species